CUGCCCGAGGAGUUGAGUGGGAUUCAUAGCACGUUCCACGUGUCACAUCUCCAAAAAUGUCUAGCUGACGAAACUGCUUAUAUCCACUACGACGACAUCGAGGUGGAUAACAGUCUCAAUUACGCGGAGCACAGGAAAGGUUCGGAUACCAAAUGGGAGUCCGAGGAGGAGAUGAGACGUCUCUACCCUACACUUUUCGGUCGUUGCACAGCUAUCGGAUAUUUGGAGUACUUGGUAUAGCGACGCACUGA
rnacentral:lncRNA from 1 species